rnacentral:snRNA from 1 species
AUCGCUUCUCGGCCUUUUGGCUAAGAUCAAGUGUAGAAUAAUACUUGAUGUCAAAAAAAUUAUUAUUAUAUUUUUAUAAAUAUUUAAAAAAUAUAAUUUACUGUCAAGGUAGCUAACAUACAGUGUAUACAGUGUGCUCUUAGCUUCGGGAGUAGAUUCCCAUGAUUCAUCACUU